rnacentral:rRNA from 1 species
AUCUUGGGGAAUAACGCUUCGAAAGCUGUGCUAAUACCGCAUACGAUCUUCGGAUGAAAGCAGGGGAUCGCAAGACCUUGCGCGAAUGGAGCGGCCGAUGGCAGAUUAGGUAGUUGGUGAGGUAAAGGCUCCCCAAGCCUUCCAUCUGUAACUGGUCUGAAAGGACGACCAACCACACUGGGACUGAAACACGGCCCAAACUCCUACGGGAGGCAACAGUGCGGAAUUUUGGACAAUGGGCGAAAGCCUGAUCCAGCCAUGCCGCGUGCCGGAUGAAGGCCUUCGGGUUGUAAACUGCUUUUGUACAGAACGAAACGGCCUUUUCUAAUAAAGAGGGCUAAUGACGGUACCGUAAGAAUAAGCACCGGCUAACUACGUGCCAGCAGCCGCGGUAAUACGUAGGGUGCAAGCGUUAAUCGGAAUUACUGGGCGUAAAGCGUGCGCACGCGGUAAUGUAAG